CUCUGGGUACCCUAAUAAACUUAGCGCUCUUUUGGUCCAGGGCGGAGUCUCUCUCCAAUGAAGAGCCCUGGGCUGGGGCUGGGGUUUCCUGGCUAACCCGGGAAGGGCGGGCAGGGGCAGGAAAACUAUCAGAGGGAAGAAGGAAGAGGGACUGGAAACUCCCUUCCAAGCACCAGAAAGAAAGUUCAAAGCAAGCAUAUCAGUGGUGUGUCCUGAGAGCUAUUUUCAUAUAUGAAAGAGGGAAUGUUAGAUUAAACAAUGUCACCUGAUGGGAAUUUAGAUUACUGCAGGUUUCCAAAACACUAUGCAGAGUGUACAGGAAAACAGCACAAAGAAAGGAAGUUUUGCACUUCAGUAGGAUUCUGAAGCAGGUGCUUAUUUACCACAACCUAGAACCUUCCCAAUGAUUUUAUUUCAAACACAAAAAGAACAUUUUUUUUAAAAAAAAUACUUUUAAGAGUUGACUAAUGACCUGGAUAUCACUAAACAUAAUACUUUCUUUGGAAAGUAAUCUCUCCAUGAUUAGAGUUCCUUAUCUGAGCCACCCAAAGAAACUAAUCUGUUGUCCUAGAUUCUUUCUGGUGCUUUUGUUUAUUUGGUUGGUUGGUUGGUUUUUUGUGGGGCUAGGGAUCAAGCCUAGGGCCUUGCAUAGGCUUGGUAAGUGCUCUACUACUGACCUACAUACAUCCCCAGCGUCCCCCCCCCCCAGAUGUUGGAAGUUUCAUGAGAUGGCCCCACUGUAGAUGGGUGUUCUCCAGACAACAGCUAGGAACUAAAAACUCAAACCACUCUUCAGCGCCUAAGGACUUACCAGCCCCUCAGAUUCCUAACAGGAUCAUCUCCCAACCUGUGGUCACAGACCUGUCCUCCCCAGAAUUGUCCCCACAUCUUUGCUGCACAAGGGAUGACCCAUCUUCUUGAGGUUCACACAGUCAGGGCUUCCAGGCUGAAGUUCUCACACCUUAGACCAAGUUGCUUCCUGAAGUUGUUCAUUAUUUGUUGAGCCUUAUCACAGUGAUAAUAAUAAUCAUGGUUUUAUAAGGCAUUUCUACAUAGGAAUCACUUCAUUUGGGUAUCAUAAAAAUCACUAAUGUUGGGCACUUGUAGCAAAACUCUUCCCAGUGAAGCAUACUUCAUCCACCAUUAUUAAAUCAUGCUCACUGAAGAGAGACUUGAAGUACUUUUAGACCAAAAAAAACCCUCUAACUAUAAAAAAGCCUUGAUCUCACCAACUAUGUGGGUAUUAAUGAGAUCAUACUUUGCUCACUGUAAUUUCUGUAUUGUAGGACCUAUGUGAAACAACAGUGUGGCUUGAACAGUAAAUACUUGGGUAAAAUACUAGGAUAAAUGAGCUGCCUUACAAAGGUCACAUGUGUUAUUACUUCACCACCACCACCACCACCUCCGGCCAUUCCAAAAUACCCAGCACACAAGAUCAGAGGCUGCACCAAACUUCAAGCAAAAAUUAGGCCCAUGAGGGGAGGUAUGGUGGUGCACGCCUGUAAUCCCAGCACUCAGGAGGCAGAGGCAGAAGGAUUGCUGCGAGUCUGAGGCCAGCCUGAACUACAUAAUGGGACCCUGUCUCAAAAACAAAACAAAACAAAUAUAUAAUUUUUCCUAGAAUGCAAAAAUAAAACUUUGAUAACUUGCC
rnacentral:lncRNA from 1 species